GCAAAAUUCGGACCGUCGGUCUACCGAGCAAUAUCACCCGUUCGGUGGAAGAUAUUUCCCUAUGUCGU
rnacentral:pre_miRNA from 1 species